UAUUCGUGAUUUACCAAAGGAAAUUAGGCAACGCCUGAAGGUUCAUACGGCGUUUUUCCGUAGCACGCCAGUAGGGUCGGAAUGAUUUUCUCUCUCCUUUGGCUGCUGGCAAUCAUUCCAGGAAAGUGUUACGAAAAAAUCAGCGGGCUUCUCUCUUGUGAGAAAAUACAAUUACUCGUUUUACGGAUGAACCCAACCCAGAUUCUAAGUAGAUAACAUCGCGGUCGUCUGACUUUGAAGACGCUAAGAUACGCCACCAAGUCCAACGCCUUGAUACAAUUAUUCGUACUCGAUGGAUGUCCAUGUUGCAUAGCCAAAAAUUGAAGGCGCUUACGCUUUCUUCAUGCCGACCGUUGGAUCGAAGGUACGGCAAAAGAUUCAUAUCGAGCAAGUUGUGCUAUUCAGGAAAGGUAUGAGCUCCAUAAAAAUAAAACGGCCAAUACGUAGGAGUCAGACGGCUAAAAACUGUAGAGCCUGCAAGGAAAGAGGGCAUUUGAAGUUUCGAUACUGGCACUCUGCUUCAAAUGUCCACGUCUAUUAAAGAACGCAUGUCCAUUCUUAAGAGGCCGAAUCCGUCGCUUAAUGGGACAAUCAACACGUUCGAAUUAGGACUUCAAAAAGACGACUAUAAAAAACUGCGACAAUAAAAUCUAAGUACCCGAUGAAAGAAUCAAAAUACUUCACCCAAGGACCAUGUGACAUAUCUGAGGCUGGUUUGCAGUGCUGCGAGGUCAAUCUACAAAUAACCGAUUUUUCAAGCUUUUCUCAGAAAAUUUCAAUGGGGAGAGCGGCAACGCUGUAUUGUGCAAACAAUCCACUGCGCUACAACAAUAACUUUUGCGAAAAUGAUGUCAUUAACGAGCGAUGGCCGAAGUGACUGGCACGCGGUCGGAGCGCGACUUUGGCCGGACAUUUAAAGAGCUCUUGUCCCAAGGAGAGGCGUUAAACUCUUCCGCCUAUGCUGCCGCCCACUCGGACAAGGCACCGCGGGAAAAGGCAAGAAAAACAACUCCGCCGAUGCGAAUCGCCUUCUACUCGCUCGGCACGAGAGAACCUGGUUCAAUUACAUUCCUAAGUUUAUGCGUAAGCUUGUUAAUGUGCGCACGCUUUUGAUUGCUUUGAUCUCUUACCGCAUUUGACACAAUGAGAAGAUAUCAAGCUGGAUUUCUGAAAAUGUAGAUCGUAUGAUUUGGAUUGGGUUUGAUAGCAUCGGCUCAUCGUCUGCAUGAUGUGUGCGUAUGUGCAAUCAAGAAAUCGAAGAAUCUCGGGAAUCUAGUACCGCAGGUUGAUUAUUGAAAUUUAUAGACGACGCGAUAGAAAAAGAGGACAGAGGGGGAUUGGAGCAAUCCUAUAGGUAGAAGCAGUUGAAGUAAUAUGGACAAAGGAGGAGAGAAAGAGACUAACUGACGGCAACUCAAGAGCGACCAUAUAGUUUAACAACCACCUGAUUCAUCCGAAAGGAUCGUUCCAUUUUCCGUGUAUCUUCUUUGUCGAUCAAUUUCAAUAAUCAGCCCGGAGACCUCCGGGUCAUCUCCCGUGACUGCUAAAAAACGGCGAUUUUCCGACGGCGACGACUGACGAGGCGGCGGAACAGGUUCAAGGCGAAUCUGGAGUAUGUCGGCCGCGUAUCGCGCCUCCUUCCUGCUUUCCUGCCGCCGCCGCCGCCGAUGGUCAUAGAGCUCACUUGCUCGCACAACGCGCAAGCAACGAGCAGUUAAAGAGUAAUCGAUGAUUGAAAAUAGAGAUGCCCGAUUAGGCUCGCUCGUCCCCGGCGAUUUCGCGCGCGUUGCCGCCGGACCGCGCCGAGGAAAAUCAGGGGAGAAAAAAGAAAGUACCCUCAUUUCCCUCUUGGGAGGAUUCACUCGAACCAGCCGGCCGAUUAUUAAAAUUGAUAGAUAAAGCUAUAGACAAAAAAGACAAUAGAGGUAUGGAGGGAUCCUAUUGGUGGAAGCGGGUGGUUGCAA